UACAGAGGUCCCGAGCGUUGUUCGGAUUCACUGGGCGUAAAGGGUGCGUAGGUGGUGAGGUAAGUCGGAUGUGAAAUCUCCAAGCUCAACUUGGAAAUGGCAUUGGAAACUACCUUGCUAGAGGUUUGGAGGGGGGACUGGAAUUCUCGGUGUAGCAGUGAAAUGCGUAGAUAUCGAGAGGAACACCAGUGGCGAAGGCGAGUCCCUGGACAAAACCUGACACUGAGGCACGAAAGCUAGGGGAGCAAACAGG
rnacentral:rRNA from 1 species